GUGGGGAAUCUUGCGCAAUGGGCGAAAGCCUGACGCAGCCAUGCCGCGUGAAUGAUGAAGGUCUUAGGAUUGUAAAAUUCUUUCACCGGGGACGAUAAUGACGGUACCCGGAGAAGAAGCCCCGGCUAACUUCGUGCCAGCAGCCGCGGUAAUACGAAGGGGGCUAGCGUUGCUCGGAAUUACUGGGCGUAAAGGGCGCGUAGGCGGACAGUUUAGUCAGAGGUGAAAGCCCAGGGCUCAACCUUGGAAUUGCCUUAGAUACUGGCUGUCUUGAGUACGGGAGAGGUGAGUGGAACUCCGAGUGUAGAGGUGAAAUUCGUAGAUAUUCGGAAGAACACCAGUGGCGAAGGCGACUCACUGGCCCGUUACUGACGCUGAGGCGCGAAAGCGUGGGGAGCAAACAGGAUUAGAUACCCCUGUAGUCC
rnacentral:rRNA from 1 species